AUGCAAUUAGAAGCAGUGGCAUAUGUGUGUGUGUGCGAUGUCCUCCUCCUUCGUCCUGAUAGAGGCCUCUUGUGUGAAGAUCUUACAGACCCAAUUACUGUAAUCAUGAUGAUCAAAGUGAGGGUGUUGAAGAGAAGAGAGUGGCAGUUAAGUCAAAGUGUGGCAAAGUAUGUUUGUGUGUAUCAUUUGCGUGGGGGUAGGGGUGUGGUUAGCUGUUUGAUUCACACCCAUCAUCUGUUUAAUGUACAGAUUCGUUUUCACCACUCUCAAUCUCUUUCUUCAUGUGUGUGUGGGUGUGUGUAUGUGUGGGUGUCUUGGCAGUUUCCAAAGUUGGUUCAGCAGAUACACUGGAUUAGGUGGGAAGCCAAAUCACUCCUGGCGACUGACCCUGUCCUGCACCACUGUAAAGGUGACCUGUCCUAUGUUCUUCCAGCAUAGAGAGGUGGGAUGCACCCGCCCGCUGCUUGCCUUGUCUCCACGGUGACCUCUGCGCAGACUGUCAAGUCGACUCACCAUCAGGCCACCGUUUGCCUCAGUGAACAUUCAACGCUGUCGGUGAGUUUGAGCUAAAUAGAAAAAAACCAUCGACCGUUGAUUGUACCCUGCGGCCGAGCCCUACCGAGCCUUGCCUCUCCCCACCGCCGGCAAAGACGAAUUUUAUCAUGGACUCCUGGAGACAAAACGGUUUUGUCUUCCAACACUACUGGCUGACUCGAACGAUGCCUGAAAAGUUUGACUUUGAAAACUACAACAAAGGUCACAAUCAACAUUCAUUGCUGUCGGUGGGUUGGACUGUUAAAGAAAGCUCACUGAACAAUGAAUGCAACUGUGUCCCAGAUUUCCUUCUCGCAGAGUGGCAUCGGAUAUAAAUAUUAACUGACAGAGCUGGAUAUACUCAUUUGCUCAUCUGAGUUUGUUUGUGGCUCUUCGACUGAGAACACCAUGUCAAAGGCCCCUUUAAGGCCAAUGAAUGUUUCCUUUGUAUUAUAAAUAAAGACAAAACCUAUCCAAACCCUGUCCA
ensembl:lncRNA